UACGGAGGGGGCAAGCGUUGUUCGGAAUUACUGGGCGUAAAGGGCUCGUAGGCGGCCAACUAAGUCAGACGUGAAAUCCCCAGGCUCAACCUGGGAACUGCGUCUGAUACUGGAUGGCUUGAAUCCGGGAGAGGGAUGCAGAAUUCCAGGUGUAGCGGUGAAAUGCGUAGAUAUCUGGAGGAAUACCGGUGGCGAAGGCGGCAUCCUGGACCGGCAUUGACGCUGAGGAGCGAAAGCCAGGGGAGCAAACGGG
rnacentral:rRNA from 1 species